GGGCAGAUAAACCCAAGUUGUGUCUCCUUCUCCACCUCCUUGUUCAUUCUUUCCCUUCUUAGAGUUUUGCACUUGACGAUGUAAAUGCAGGAAUACUCAGGGCGGCUCUGCUUGAAUCCAAUCUGGUCCAGGCUGUCCCAUUCAUCAUGUUGGCACUGGGAAUUAUUUGUGGAGCAGUGUUUCUGGCAGUCACCUAUUGGCCCAAAGGGAAAAAAGAGGAGGGUAACGUUGACGAGCGAGCUCCACUUAUCCGGACUUAACUCCAUCUCCCCCGACCAUGCCAGGUUUACAGAAAAAAAGAGAGAGCUUCACAAUGAUGACUGUAAAGGGCAAGCGUUUUUAAACUGCCACCACAACCUACCACUUCAAUGGCACCCUUGAAGUCGUCCUCUUGCUAGCAUUUAGUAACCACCUGCUUCCGAGGAAGGUUGGGCAUUUGUAAACGGAACCUAAACGGAGGGGGGCAGCAUUACAGGCUUUUUAAAGGGGUCGGUUGGACGCCAUUUGCCACCGCUUUCCCAGAGUGUGAAAAUAGCAGUAGUAUUUCACUACACUUCUAUCAUUUUGUUGGACUUGUGGAGUUGCAACUGCACCUGGUUUCCCUUGCUGUUUAUUGGAGGUGUCAUGAAAGAUGAUGUCAGCCUUUGAUGACAUCCUUAUUUAGUUUAGGAGAUUUGCUAGUCCAGCCCUCGUCCUGCCAUAAUUUGAUUUCUUGGUGAAUCUUACGGGUCAGAUCUACUUGGAGUUUCAUUUUUCCCAUAGCGUAAAUCUUUGCACCGGAAAGAAAAAAGAAGAAUUUUACAUACAUCCAAGGAAAAUGCCUAUUUUUGUUCAGGCCAUCAAAUGCCCCAUUCGGUGUUGGUUUGUUUUUUAAUUUCCUUUUGAGUAAAAGGCUCAGACCAGCUUUUAUUAACUUGGCACCCUGUGGCAGUGCCAACUCUUUGAGAGAAUACCAGAUUGAGGAAGGCUGCCUCAGGUGUUUGCUAGUGAAUUCUCUCCUAUUUGUGUAUCUAUGGAAAUAGAGUUGGCAAUAGAGUGGAAAUAGAGUUUAAAAGAUCCAGCCCCUGGACCCAAAAGAUUUACUGGGAUUUUAACUAUUUUAUUUUAUUUUUUAAAAAAGUACACACACAAAGUAUGUUUGAAGGCGCCAUCUCUACAAACUGGACAUGUCACACAUAUUUUCCAAGAAUACACAACUUCAUGUGUGAAGGUUUUUUCACUCGUCCUUUCUCUCUCAUCUCCUUUAAAAAUGAUUUGGGGAUAACAGAUUUCUUCUUUAAAUCCAACACACAUUUUUUGUCAAGAUCUAAAGGCCUCUUCCCUCCGAGACAUCCAUCCAGAUGUGGCCGUCAUUUCCUCCUUCAACUUGGGAGGAAAAAAAGAAGGGAUCGGAGUCUUCACAAUUAACAGCCAACAUAGAAUUUAAACCCUGCAGGCCGAAGCCUGCGGUUUGUCAAGAUAAUGUGAUUGCUUUGAGGGGAGAAAAAAAGGGAAGUUUUACAGGAUCAUUCAUUUGCACUGGAGGGUCUACUGCUUGCACAGGGGGUUGGACUAGAAGACCUCCAAGGUCCCUUCCAACUCUAUUCUGAUUGAUUGGAUGUGCCGUCUUUGUCGAGUGAUUUGAUUGCACUGAUUUGAUGAAGGGAAGCUGGAAUCCUUUUUGAGAUGGUCCUGAAAGUAAGAUGGUAGCCAGUAAUCUUGUUGGUAGCCAGUAAUCUGGCUAAUCCUGCUUGCUUGAUAAUUCGGAGAGGAGAGGAGAAGGAAAAGCCCAAGACAUCUGACAUUAUGGAAGUUGGAAAAAAAAUUCUGGAAGAAAGCUGUAUUUGCCAAGAAAACAACAUGGAUGUCCAUGAAGGCACCAGGAGUCAAGCUCAAAUUGAACACUAUUUUUUCCCUCCUAACUAAGCAGUGAAAAAUGUUCCUGAUACUUUCCUCUGCUUCUUUUCUGUAGUGUAUCUAUUACUUUAUUGCCUGAAGUCUCACCACGAUACUCAGUUCCCCAAAUGUCCUAUUGUUAGAAUCCUAUUGUUAGAAAUGAAGUGGUUCCUUCAGUUUGCAAUCUUAAAAUUAUCCUGUUGGGUUAGGAAGGAUUCCCAUGGCUUUUGCUGUGCCUGGUUGUAUUACUUUAACUUCAUCUUAAAAAUGGCUUUGCUGGAUCCCACCGAAUGUCCCUUAGCCUGGGCAUUUCAUCCCCAGUUGUGCCAGGCAGAGUUCUGGGAAGUUAACCAAGGUUGAAGGUGCCCUCUAUUGUAGAAUUAAUCUAAGAGAUUAGAGGCACACGGUUUGCAAACCUGUGACAGGUGAUGAUAGUGGUUUCCUUGGAGGUUGGGCAAAUUCUGCCAAUUAGAUUAAAAUCUGAAUAUUAACCUUUUUCAGCUCAGAAAUGAAAAUGUCAGAUUACAGUGCAUCAACUGAUUGCAAAAAGAGAGACAGUUUUGAAUAUUUGCAGAGACAAAAAAGCAAAAAGAAAAGAAUAUAUCGAAGUCUUAGGAGCCCAGGAGUUGUACUACACAAUACUGUAGGUCAAGAUGGUGGAGUUCUGGCCUAUUCUGCAUGGAUAGCUUUUAGCCUAGGACUGAUAUAACUUAUAACAGAUUAUAGGCAAAGUGAAAUCACUUUUGCUUUCAAAGGAGAGUUCUCUUGUCACAAUUACAAAAAUAAAUUGGUCGGUCUUCUGAAAAGUUGGCCUGUU
rnacentral:lncRNA from 1 species